GGGGAAUAUUGCACAAUGGGCGAAAGCCUGAUGCAGCGACGCCGCGUGAGGGAUGACGGCCUUCGGGUUGUAAACCUCUUUCAGUAGGGAAGAAGCGAAAGUGACGGUACCUGCAGAAGAAGCACCGGCUAACUACGUGCCAGCAGCCGCGGUAAUACGUAGGGUGCGAGCGUUAUCCGGAAUUAUUGGGCGUAAAGAGCUCGUAGGCGGUUUGUCGCGUCUGUCGUGAAAGUCCGGGGCUUAACCCCGGAUCUGCGGUGGGUACGGGCAGACUAGAGUGCAGUAGGGGAGACUGGAAUUCCUGGUGUAGCGGUGGAAUGCGCAGAUAUCAGGAGGAACACCGAUGGCGAAGGCAGGUCUCUGGGCUGUAACUGACGCUGAGGAGCGAAAGCAUGGGGAGCGAACAGGAUUAGAUACCCUGGUAGUCCAUGCCGUAAACGUUGGGCACUAGGUGUGGGGACCAUUCCACGGUUUCCGCGCCGCAGCUAACGCAUUAAGUGCCCCGCCUGGGGAGUACGGCCGCAAGGCUA
rnacentral:rRNA from 1 species